AUGAGUAAAUUUUGGAAGAUCUUGUUUGCAAGUGGUAUGAAAUCUGAGAAAAGCCAGGCUCUGAUUCCUAAAGAUUUCGUAUUUAGAGAGAGUCAUGUAUCAAUCCUGAGCAAAGUGUGAGCCAGGUAACGAUCUUGAACCUGUGAAAGCAGGACUGCGAUCCCAGCCUAUCGAAAGGGGGAGUCUAUAGAUGCUAAAGAGCCAGGUUACGAUUCUGGAAGCCUGAUAGUCACAUAAGAUGCUGAUGAUGAUGAACUUAAGGUAACAAGAGAUCUGAUCAAGAGAAUUAGAAGGCUUGAGAGCCAGAUUAUGAUCCUGGUUCGUUCAACAUUCGAGGGGAGAUUAUUUGCUUGAGGAAAGUCUGUUGGUGAAAAUAGAGAAGAGAGAAGAGAGAGAUUUGAUGAUGCUUUACAAUUUCAGACACUUCAAAUGAGAAGCCCGAAGACUGAUAAAGACUGAAGAUGUUGAAGACUCGACACUUAAGACUCGUCAACAUUCGAGGGGGAGUCUGUUAGUGCAUGCGUCUGUCGACUUCGUCUUGUAUCGAGUCUUGUACUUAGAAUGUUAGAUCAGGGCACGUAGUUUGAGAAAACAAGUAAUUUCGCUUGAGUGGGUAAUUCCGCUUGAAAUGAUGCUGCAUGUAAUUCCGCACGGAAUUAGAUUCCGUGUGAAAUCUAAUUCCAUUUGGAACAGUUUCAAGCGGAAUCACAAGCCUAUAAAUACCAAGUCAAGCGAAAUUAGUGUGUAGGGUUCCGGUUUGUGCAACGAAGUGCUGCCGAAGUGUCGUCUCGCUGUAAUAUGUCAUCAAAUCAAUAAUACAACAGUUUAAAGUAUAUAUCUUGCUGAAUU
rnacentral:lncRNA from 1 species